rnacentral:rRNA from 1 species
GAUGAACGCUGGCGGCGUGCUUAACACAUGCAAGUCGAACGAAGCAUUUAGAACAGAUUACUUCGGUUUGAAGUUCUUUAUGACUGAGUGGCGGACGGGUGAGUAACGCGUGGGUAACCUGCCUUGUACUGGGGGAUAGCAGCUGGAAACGGCUGGUAACACCGCAUAAGCGCACAAUGUUGCAUGACAUGGUGUGAAAAACUCCGGUGGUAUAAGAUGGACCCGCGUCUGAUUAGCUAGUUGGUGAGAUAACAGCCCACCAAGGCGACGAUCAGUAGCCGACCUGAGAGGGUGACCGGCCACAUUGGGACUGAGACACGGCCCAGACUCCUACGGGAGGCAGCAGUGGGGAAUAUUGCACAAUGGAGGAAACUCUGAUGCAGCGACGCCGCGUGAGUGAAGAAGUAAUUCGUUAUGUAAAGCUCUAUCAGCGGGGAAGAUAGUGACGGUACCUGACUAAGAAGCUCCGGCUAAAUACGUG